rnacentral:sRNA from 1 species
GGGCCAGCCGCCUUAACAGGCAUCUUAUUUACUGCCCGCAGCUGCACAGGAGGCAGAACCAUCCCCUUUUCACAGCUGGGGCUGAGGGAGGAAAAUGACUUGCCCAGAUCACAGAGCAGAACAGUGGCAGAGCCAGGGGAGACGGAGGGCCGUCUGUCCCCAGCCCUUCCUCCCUGGUGAGGGCGAAUGGAAGCUAAGUGUGCGUCCCCCAGCCCGGGCACUUCCAGACCUGAGCCUGACGGCUUCUGCCAGGGCCGCAUACCAGGUUCUUUUCCUUGAUCUCUGCCCACGUGUCAGCCUGGGCCACUUGGGCUGCGGUCUGGGUACCAUCCACUCCCUCAUUAAGCAGGAGCCCCACCCACAAGGCUCACUGCCCAGAUUGCCCCACACCCUGGCACCCGGGCAGGCAGUGUUGCCGAGGGCCUGAUUGGUGCCAGGCACUGUUUUAGGCCCUCAGGGAUCUGGCACUGAUCAAAGUUUGCAAAAGGCCGGGCGCAGUGGCUCACACCUGUAAUCCCAGCACUUUGGGAGGCCAAGGUGGGAGGACUGCUUGAGUCCAGGAGUUCAAGACCAGCCUGGGUAACAUAGAGAGACCCAGUCUCUAUUUCAAAUAUAUUUAUAUUAAAAAAAAAAAAAAAAAAGGUUGACAAAAGCUUCCUCGUGGUAGUUGAGUGAGAGGAGACAGACAAUAACCAAGUCCAUGAACACCGACAGUUUGUCACAGUGGUGAGUGGCACGCAGGAAGAGAAGCAGGGAAGGGAUAAGGUGGUGCAGGAGGGAUUUAGGACAGGCCUCCCUGAGGUGAGCCUUGGGUGAAGACCUGAAGGCAGUAAGGGAUGAAGCCGUGCAGAGAUCUGGGGCAGCCAGAGAGCAGAGCUGGAGUGGAGGCCUGGAGGCGGGAGCGGGCCCAGCGUGUUGAGACAGCCUAGGCAGUAUGGCAGGGAGUGAAUGAGGGAAGGGUGGGAGGUGAGACCAGGGAGGUAGCGGAGGGCCGGAGUCUCAGCAGACGAGAUGGGCUGUUUCCCUGCCCCUUUCCCUUCCCCUCACACACAGGCUGUGAUGGAUGUGGGGUCCUCGUCCCCUGCCACCCAGAGGCCCCCACAGUCCUUCAGCCUGGCCUCUCCCCUCCUGCCUGUUCCAGCGGAGAUCCUGCAGGCCAAUGACAACCUCACCCAGGUGAUCAACCUGUAUAAGCAGCUGGUGCGGGGUGAGGAGGUCAACGGUGAUGCCACAGCCGGCUCCAUCCCUGGGAGCACCUCGGCCCUGCUGGAUCUCUCAGGCCUGGAUCUCCCGCCUGCGGGCACCACCUACCCAGCCAUGCCCACCCGCCCUGGCGAGCAAGCCAGCCCUGAGCAGCCCAGUGCCUCAGUUUCCCUGCUUGACGACGAGCUCAUGUCUCUGGGUGAGGAAGGGGCCAGGCCUGGAGGAGGGCGGGCUCAGCAGCAGAUGGGGCAUGAUUCCAGGGCCCACUCACAGCUAGCGGAACCACGUACCCCAGGUGUGAAUCGUGUGGGGCACGUGGAUGAGCAUUAGGCCCACUUCACAACUGAGGAAACCGAGGCUCAGGGAAGUUAGGAGUUUGUGCGAGACCACACGGCCAGAGGGUGAGGCUGGCAGCCUCUAAGCCGGCCUCGGAUAAGCUAACCAGCAUUCAGGCUCUGGCAGCCUGGGGGGAAACCAGGGGAUUUCCCCGCAACAGGUUAGAGCCUGGAAUUGAGAACUGUCUGGGCAAAAGUUCAGCAGUUUCUUCAUCCACCAAGAGGAGAGGGAGGGCUCUGGGCUCCAGAGCACCCAGAGGCUUCAGAGAAGCCGAGGCCAGAGCGCGAGGGACUCCGUGAUCCAAGCUGGUCCAGGGCCAGGCCUGCUGUUACUCCCAGGCAGGCUCCGGCUCCAGAGCCCAGCAGGGGCCAGGCUUACCUGGGGGGAAGCAGCAAAGCAGUCCCAGCUGCCCAAACCAUUUUUGGGUUUCCAACUGCUCUCAGGGCAGCAGCCCCAUCCGAGAGCUGAGAUCAGAACAGCCUCCUCCUGAGAGCCGCUGAAGGGAUGAAGAGCAGAGACAUUAGGGCCCCAUCAAAGGAAUCCUCAGGGAUAUGUUGGAAGCCAAGAUUCAGACUGUGGUUUCCUGAGCCAGUUCUGAAGCCAAAACCAGACCUGAAGGCCUUGAAGAAGUGAUGGGGGCCGGGGGCGCCCUGGACGGGGUCUGCCUGGGUUCCAGGAGUGCUUCCUUAGGUGGUGCCCACUACUGCACUCUGUCCUGUCUUAGGUGACCCUCACAGUCUCUGCAGGCAGGUGCCGUUAAUAGCCCCACCGCACAAUGAGGAAAUGGCAGCACAGAAAGGCGCGGUGGCUCACGCCUGGAAUCCCAGCACUUUGGGAGGCCGAGGCAGAGGGAUUACUUGAGGUCAGGAGUUUGAAACUAGCCUGGCCAACAUGGCGAAACCCCGUCUCUAUUAAAAAUACAAAAUUAGCUGGGCGUGGUGGCACAUGCCUGUAGUUCCAGCUACUGGGGAGGCUGAUGCAGGAAAAUUGCUUGAACUGGGGAGGCGGAGGUUGCAGUGAGCCGAGAUGGCACCACUGCACUCCAGCCUGGGUGACAGAGUGAGGCUCCGUCUCAC